rnacentral:rRNA from 1 species
UAGAGUUUGAUCCUGGCUCAGGAUGAACGCUGGCGGCGUGCCUAACACAUGCAAGUCGAGCGAACCCCUUCGGGGGAGAGCGGCGGACGGGUGAGUAACGCGUGGGUAACCUACCCUGUACACACGGAUAACAUACCGAAAGGUAUACUAAUACGUGAUGACAUAUCGGACAGGCAUCUGUCAGAUAUCAAAGGUCAGCCGGUACAGGAUGGACCCGCGUCUGAUUAGCUAGUUGGUGAGAUAAAAGCUCACCAAGGCGACGAUCAGUAGCCGACCUGAGAGGGUGAUCGGCCACAUUGGAACUGAGACACGGUCCAAACUCCUACGGGAGGCAGCAGUGGGGAAUAUUGCACAAUGGGCGAAAGCCUGGUGCAGCAACGCCGCGUGAGUGAUGAAGGCCUUCGGGUCGUAAAACUCUGUUGUUAGAGAAGAACAAGGAUGAGAGUAAAAUGUUCAUCCCUUGACGGUAUCUAACCAGAAAGCCACGGCUAACUACGUGCCAGCAGCCGCGGUAAUACGUAGGUGGCAAGCGUUGUCUGGAUUUAUUGGGCGUAAAGCGAGCGCAGGCGGUUUCUUAAGUCUGAUGUGAAAGCCCCCGGCUCAACCGGGGAGGGUCAUUGGAAACUGGGAAACUUGAGUGCAGAAGAGGAGAGUGGAAUUCCAUGUGUAGCGGUGAAAUGCGUAGAUAUAUGGAGGAACACCAGUGGCGAAGGCGGCUCUCUGGUCUGUAACUGACGCUGAGGCUCGAAAGCGUGGGGAGCAAACAGGAUUAGAUACCCUGGUAGUCCACGCCGUAAACGAUGAGUGCUAAGUGUUGGAGGGUUUCCGCCCUUCAGUGCUGCAGCUAACGCAUUAAGCACUCCGCCUGGGGAGUACGACCGCAAGGUUGAAACUCAAAGGAAUUGACGGGGGCCCGCACAAGCGGUGGAGCAUGUGGUUUAAUUCGAAGCAACGCGAAGAACCUUACCAGGUCUUGACAUCCUUUGACCACUCUAGAGAUAGAGCUUCCCCUUCGGGGGCAAAGUGACAGGUGGUGCAUGGUUGUCGUCAGCUCGUGUCGUGAGAUGUUGGGUUAAGUCCCGCAACGAGCGCAACCCUUGUCAUUAGUUGCCAGCAGUUCGGCUGGGCACUCUAGUGAGACUGCCGGGGAUAACUCGGAGGAAGGUGGGGAUGACGUCAAAUCAUCAUGCCCCUUAUGUUCUGGGCUACACACGUGCUACAAUGGCCGGUACAGAGAGAAGCAAAUUCGUGAGGAAGAGCAAAACUCUAAAACCGGUCCCAGUUCGGAUUGUAGGCUGAAACUCGCCUACAUGAAGUUGGAGUUGCUAGUAAUCGCGGAUCAGAAUGCCGCGGUGAAUGCGUUCCCGGGUCUUGUACACACCGCCCGUCACACCAUGGAAGUUGGGGGCGCCCGAAGUUGGUCGAGAAAUAGAUUACCUAAGGCGAAAUCAAUGACUGGGGUGAAGUCGUAACAAGGUAACCUUAAUUAAAAA